rnacentral:lncRNA from 1 species
UCUACACCUGGAGAGUAGAAGGCAUCUUUAUCACCAGAGAGAGAGAAUUCAGGACUGAGAAAACUGUAUAAACAAACCUUGUUACUUCUUCAUUAAUUUGCUACCCCAAGUCCAAACUUUUGUCUUGUUAACUCUUCAUAAAUUUCUUCGAAAAGGUAUAACAAGCUGCCGACUUUGGUCACUUCUUUGAAUCCAAUAUUUCUAUGAGCUCCCAUACAUGCAAAAUUAAAAUCUUUUUCUCCUGUUAAUCUGUCUUGUUUAAUUAUUUGACCAGCCAAAGAACCUAGCAGGAAAAAAAGGAAAGUUUUCCUCCCCUACACUGCUGUAAUAGUCCAGAGGUGACAAAGGCUUGAGCACCCACAGUGCUGGCAGGAAUAGAAAGAGAUUCAAGCAACAGACCCUGCCCUCUGACAGGACGGGGUAGACAUGGCAGAAGUCAAAGGUAAGUCUAAGUUUGUACUCAGGUGACUGGGGAAAAGUGGUAACCUUACCAGAAACAGCAACACAGGAGGAGGAGCCUGCUUUCAAAGGAAAGGUGAAUUUGAUUUUAGAUUUAUAGCCUGGUUGUCAGCCAAGGGAUUUACCCAACAGACAGUUAAUUCAGGAUUGGCAAGAGGUCUGGGCUGCAGACAGAUUUAGGAGUCAUGCGUGUAAUUAGUAAUCAGAGCCAUGAGACUGGAUAAAACUCACCAGAGUGUGAAACUGCAGAGAGGGAAUUAAAAGGAAAAUGUAGAAGAGGAGGAGAGAGAUGGAACGAGAAGAAAAUAAGAAGGAAGGAGAAAGGAAGGAAUGAGUCAAGGACAGCUCAGGGAAGGAGUAGGGGCUGAGGGUAGGAGUAGGGGCAGGAAGCACUAACCGCCUUGAAACUAAGGGUGGAGUGAUGCAGCUCUGUGCACACAGUCAUAGCAGGAGCACCCCCUCAGACACAGCCCAGCUUGCCAGAGGGAAGCGGUUACCACUAGCAAGAUUCUAAAGGCCCUGAGAAGUCCCUUACUUUAUGCCCCCCCACCCCACUCCCAUACACACCUACUUUAAAACCCUUUCCUCUAUUGGCCUGAAACCACACAAUCAUAUUAACCCUGGCUUGGAUGAAGACGCUCCAAACUGUACAAAGCCUCUUGUUAAUGUGCCCCCAAAUCUAGGGGUGCUCAGUGGCCGGAUGGAGCCUGGAGCCCUCUUGGCUCUCACUGUCCCUUGCUCUUACCACACCCGUAAGGCUACCACAAUAGCAACUGGCCAUUCUGACCCAGGUUCCCCUGGUGCCCAAAUACCCCACCUCACCCAUUGGUCGGAGCCCGCCAAGGCGGGGCGCCUAGUGCCCAGGCGGGAUCAAUGCGUGCCCAGAAACAUUUCUGCUCAGUUCAACUGACACUUGCCGCUGCCACGAGGAUCCACGAACAGUCUGCUCUUUCGGAGAAAGUCCAAGGGAAUGCAGUCCGUCCCUCCCACCACACCAGCUUGGGGAGGAGGAUCCUUGAGGCUAGGACACCGACCCCAUGUGGGGAGGGGAGGCAACCAGGCAUGUGGAGACCCAUGUGCACCCACGUGCACAGGUGCCCUACGCAGAAACCAUGGCUGUUGGGCACACACGGCCGGCGCCAUUGACCUGACCGGGUGGCGCCGCCUCCCCUACUUGCUAUGCCAGCUCUGGGCCAAGCAGUGGCCCGCUCUCAGGGACCAGACGGUGGCGGUGAGGCCCAGUGGCGGCCACUCCUCGGAGCUGCCCCCAGGACAUCCUUGUGAAGAGCACCCCUGACCUGUCUUUGAGGUCUGUCACCACAAGGAGAAAAGGGUGACAUUUAUCCUUGUGCAAAGAGAGUUUAAGUUAAAUAUGUUCAGGCCAUUCGGACUGUUUUCUGCAGUACAUUCAGUAUCUCUUGGGAAGCAUCUUGGUAGGAAACAGAAACUGAAAAUUGUACAUGACAGGAGCCAAAGGAAUACAUUGCAUAAAGAAAAGUGCCUCAAAUAGCUUCAGAUGUUUCUUGAACCCCUUUGUUGAACUUUCAGAAACUCAGAGUAAAUAUUAUGCAAUUCAUUUGUGUUUUAAUGAUGCAAAUGCCAACGAAUGUAUAUUCUGCUUUCAGGAAAUGGAUUUUUCUUCAUCUAGUGCCUGCUCAAUGCAGGUAAAAGGAGUUUAAUUGAAACAGAUACCCGGUUUCCCAAGUGUAGGAAAGGUGUAUCUCCUUCCUUGAGAUUGAGCAAGGAGAAAACCUUGGCAGUGUUCAUUUGAGGAUCUUCUCACCAGCAGCCUGGCUUCCCUGAGAAUACUGGACAAAGUAUUUCACUAUUGCAGAAGGGCUGUCCUAAUUUCCGGUGUAUUCGUUUAGUAUGCUCUGUACAGAACAAGGUGGUGGGCUGGACCUAGGAAAUCAAUAAAGAAGAACCUGGAAGGAAUAGCCUGAAGAGCUGGAGCUGCCCAGGAAGGUGAGGUGUGUGCUGGUUGAGCUAAUUUGUCACUUAAAUGGUGAGUUUUGUUGUCGCUCAGGACUUUGAAUGAACCACGUGACAGAUCUGUAUGCUUUACCACCUUCAAGGGCCAGUUUCCAGAUUACAUUCACCCUCUUCCCAUACCAACAGGUAUUGAACUUAGAUAACAAAAUUCUGAUCUUUGUAUAGAAAGAUCACCAGAAAAGAAACCUCAAAUGAUUGCCACCUACAAAAUGUGACAUGCAGAGAGUAUCAUCAGCUGGAAGUUUGCAAAUUUGUUACGCCUGUUUUGUUUACAUGUAAUGACCCCACUGAACUAAGCUAAGGUGAAUAACAGUGAAAAAGGCCGUCUGUGAUUGACUUUUCUUAUCAUGCCCCUUUGUAUGUAUAAAGGUAUAAAGGGAAGAUUUAAAACCCAGAAAAUGUCUAUUAAAACUGUACUAUGGAGACAUCAUCUUAUGCUUUUGGUUUCUAAUGAGCAGACAAGUACUGAAAAAUUUCAGAAAAUUCUAUUCUGUGCAAUAAAUACAAAUUUACUUUUUAGAUAAAUUUUGACCCUACCAAAUAUUAGUGAAUUCCAAUUGUCCAUCUUGUAAAUCUUCCCUAAUUUAGAUAAAAGAUUGGUAAAGGAAGAAUUUGAUAGUCCAAAUAUAAAUUGUUUUACUUGUGUGUUUAGCUUUUCGCUCCUAAUUUCAUAUGAAUCCUUCAGUUUCCAUAUCCCUCCAGUGACUACUUGCUUUUUAAGACUACGUACGUUUUUGGUUCUUUGGAAACUAAAAAGAUGAGCUUUUUUUAAACUUAAAAUAACAUUAUGCUAAUUUGACUUUGCUUUUACUCUAUUUUACUUCUUAUGGGAAAAAAACUAACUGAAAUUUUAAAUUUGCAAACAAGCUCACAUGAGAAAAGGAAAAAUCACAAGAUUUUAUGAGGCUUUUCCUUUGUUUUAUAUACUAUUUUUUAAACAGGCUCUACACAUUUUUUAAUAAUCAUCAUGGGUAAAUAGGAUGUGCCUACAGAGUAUUCUCUGCCCUUGGUAAUUUUUUCCUUUGUUUCAAUUUUGAUAAAGGUCUACUCUUACUUAAACUCAAUAAUUUUUGUUUCUGAAGUGGUUGCAGUUUGCUCAUGCUAAUAAGAACCUCAUAUAACUUGAUACUAACGUCAAAAGAUAUAAAAUAAAAGAUCAGGGUUGCCAGGGUGGCUCAGCUGGUUGAGCAUCUGAUGUGGUUCCAGCUCAGAUUAUGAUCCCAGAGUUUGGGGUUGGCCUCCAAGCUGAGCAUGGAGCCUGCUUAAAUUACUCUCUCUCUCUCUGUCCCUCUGCCCCUCUCCCUCCUGCUCAUGCUCUAUCUAAAAUAAAAAACUAAAGGGCACCUGAGUGGCUCAGUCAGUUAAGCAGGUCAUGAUCUCACAGUUCAUGGGUUUGAGCCCCCCCAUCGGGCUCUGUGCUGACAGCUCAGAGCCUGGAGCCUGCUUCAGAUUCUUUCUCUCUGCCCCUUCCCCACUUGUGCUCUGUCUCUCUCUGUCUCUCAAAAAUAAAUAAAUAUUGAAAAAAAAAUUUUAAUAAAAAAUUAAAUAGAAGAUAAAACAUAGAAGAGAAUUUUUAAAUAAAUACAUUUGUCAUUAUUUGAACAUAUUGAUUCCCUAAGUUUACUGCUAUAUAAUUUCUUUUUAGCUAGAGUAGGUAUUGUGUACAUUUAAUCUCUGCUUUAUAGUAUGUCAAAGAAUUAGGAAUCCUUUUAAUUUUUCCACAAAAAUGAUGAAUCUGUUUUUAAAGAGAGAAAAUAAGCUUAUGGAAGUUAAAUAAUUUUUUAGAAAUAGAUGAAAUGUUUAAAAGAAGAAAUUUUACUGCUAAUUAAUUACAGUGAGUUGUUUUAAAAGUUUUUACUGCUUUUAAAUCAUAUUCCUUGUCUUCUGAAUGUUUUGCAUAAAUUUGGGGCUCAAGAACAAAAGUUGAUUUUCUGAAUGACUUAAACACUAGGCAGGUCAUUAGUAUAAACAUCUCUACCUCAAAUGUAUAAAAAAUUGGGGCAACUCUUAAAUAUUCAUAUUUCAUAUUUGCAAAAUUUUUCAUAUUUACACAUUUUUAAAAUAUCAUGCAAUCUCUAGUUAAAUGUAUUAGCAGUUAUGUUCCUGGGGUUUCAACAAAAAACAUGGUAUUUCAAUAAAAUCAAUAUAGAAUUUUUUCAAUUGUAGUUGGUACUUCCAUGAUGAUUUUGUAAAGAAAAUGAAAGCCUACAUCAUAACAUUUCUAUUCUUAGGAAAAAUGGGAGAAGGGAAAGAGUUUGUUAUUUGCUUGCUAUUUGUAGAGUUUCUUACUUAAGAUGCUAUGGCUAAAAUAAUUUUAUUGAGCGUUUAACAAUUAGUCUGUCUUAAAUACUGGAGUAAUCAAUGAUAAUCCAUUGUGACUAAAAAGCAAAUACUUGUUUAUUUUAAUAUACAAGUUGACAGUUUGAUGGACUUUCUAAGGCUAUAAGUUAUCAAAGAAUCAUGAAUUCAGUCAGUAAAAUGUUAGAUAAAGCAGUCACCUCCUAAGAUGAUUUUUGGAGAUGAAUGUGAAGAAACUAUGGAAAUAAUUACAUAAAACCUGUGGAAAUGUUUGCCAUCAUUAACUUCAACACACUAAUGUUUAGCCUCAUUCUGUUCAUUGGAUUUUUUUCCCUACGUGUGUGCCAAUGAAGAUUGGUUUGUAUUUACUACUAAAAUAGAUACACAUAUGUUAAGGUGAGAAUGGCCAAAUAAUUGGAGCCCGUAUACUUAUAGGUUAAGUUCAAAAGGCAUUAAUACAUAAUAUUUUUAGUAUCCAAAGCAUAUUCAAAAACUGUCUAGUAUGGAGUAUUCUAACAUAAAUGUUCAAAUACCAAACUAUAAAAUAUAAAACUUCUUUUUAUCCAAUUUUUAUAUAUACAAAUAAGCUGAUUUUACAAAUGGUGUUGCCAUGUACCCAUUCAACUCAAUAAGUCCUUUUUAAUUUCCCCCUCGUUCCCUUUCACCUUUGGCUUUUGGGGUGCUCUUUCUUCUACAUCCAUCAUUUUCAACAAUGGGGUAGGUCUUAUGGGUUAUAGGAAGGGUGAAAAGGGUGACAGGCUAAGCAAGAGUUUGAAACUAGGGAGACAGUUUACAUACUAUGCAGGUUGUCAGGAGUUUUUGUUGCAACUAUAACAAGGAAAACAACAACAAAUAUAAUAAUUACCAAUAUUUGCAUGUCACUUCCUGUCUACAGAGCAUUUUCAUAUGCUCUACUUACCUGAAGCCUCAGAGCAACCUUACAAGUUUGCUUUGAGGUACUUAAUAAGAUCUUGCUUUGUUGUUUUUACUGAAUCAUUAUAUGCAACUGUCAGUUUCUUGAGGGCACGAACUGUGUCUUGUAUGUUUUGAACAUACACACACAUUUAAACCCCUCAGAAAUAAACAUUCUUAAACUGACUACUGAGUUGUUAACAAGUUUCAAGUGGAAGAUUUGCUGGAUUUGAUGAUAAAAGGGCUAUUAAGACUGUAAGGAGACCAAGGACACCAUCAAAGAGGACCGUAAGGAAAGCAGUGGCCAAGGGUCCAAAGUAAGCAGGUUGAACAGGGAAAGAAGACUCUAGGAAUUCCCCUUGUCAGGGUUAAUCCUGGGCCAGACCACUUCACAUCCUGUAUAUAGAAAUCCUUUUUUUUUUUAAUUUGAGAGAAAGAGAGAGAGUGCAUGGGAGGGGCAGAGAGGGAGAGAGACAGAGAUUGAAUCUUUUUUUUUUUUUUUUUUUUUUCAACGUUUAUUUAUUUUUGGGACAGCGAGAGACAGAGCAUGAACAGGGGAGGGGCAGAGAGAGAGGGAGACACAGAAUCGGAAACAGGCUCCAGGCUCCGAGCCAUCAGCCCAGAGCCUGACGCGGGGCUCGAACUCACGGACCGCGAGAUCGUGACCUGGCUGAAGUCGGACGCUUAACCGACUGCGCCACCCAGGCGCCCCCAGAGAUUGAAUCUUAAGCAGCCUCUACACUCAGCCCAAAGCCUGACAUGGGGCUUGAUCCCACAACCCUGAGAUCAUUACCUGAGCUGAAAUCAAGAGUCCAACACUCAACCACUGAGCCAACCUGGUGUCCCAAAUUCUUCAUUAUUUUUAAUGGCUAAAUUGUUCUCUGUGGUAUCUAGAUAUCAUAGACAGCUAUUUUUUCCAUUGAAGUGCCUUUGUCCUAAAUUUUUAGUAGUACAAGCAAUGCAAAUUUAUAAGCAUAAAGUUGAACAUAAUGGUUAUAUCCAGUUUUUUUUUUUUAACUUUUUAUUUUUAAGAGAGAGCAUGAGAGGGGGAGGAGGGCAGAAGGAGAGACAAUCUCAAGUAGGCUCCAUGGUCAGCACAGAGCCCAGCAUGGGGCUCAAUCCCAUGACCCUGGGAUCAUGACCUGAGCUGAAAUCAAGAGUUGGGCACUCAACUGACUGAGCGACCCAGGCACCCCAUAUAAUAGAUAUAUCCUCGUUCUUAUUCCUAAUUUUGUUUAUUUGAAUUUUCUCUUUUUUUAAAACAGAUUUAUUAGCUAGUGAAAUUGUUAGAUUUUCAAAAAAAUUUUUUAGUUUUAUCUACUCUCUCUUUUUCUAAAUUUUUUUUCUGCUUUUGUUAUUUUUAUAUACCUAUGUUUACUUUCUCUUGACUUAUUUUUCUUUUUCUAUUUUGUUGAGUUGAAAAUUUAGUUCUUUUAUUUUUAUUCACUCUAGGUUAAAAAUAAAAACAUUUGAUGUUAUGAAAUUUCCCCCUUAAUGUAGUCUUAGUUGCAUCUCAUAGAUCUACAACCUUUUCAUUGCCAUUUGUUAUUAUAAGUCUAUAUUUUCUGUUUUUAUUCCUUCUUUGAACCUAAAUGUUUAGAAUUUAAAAUUUAUCUGUGGCUAGAUGUCUUUUAUCUUUUAUCAUUAAUUUCCAUUUUGAUAGCAUUGUAAUUAAAAAAUGGUGGUUUAAAGGGAAAAUAAGUAGAAAAGAAAUUAGGAACAAACUUGGGGUGGGGGGAAGAUAAGCGUGAGACAUAGCAUUAAUGAGCAGAGGAGAAUAAAACAAAGCAUAAAUAAGAAGAGGAAGUAUAAAAGGGCCCAAGACAAAGCAGAGGACUGAGUGUGAGAGUUACUGGCAUGGCAGUAGGUUUGGAUUGUUGAAUAGGGUACAUGAUGCAAGAUAGUGUUAGGAGACCAGGAAGAUAUUGGGAGGGAGUAUAUGGGAAGAGAUGCCCAGGAAAGACAGUCUGCCAAGAAAAUCCAACUGCUCCUUGGUUGUGAUGGUGCAUGGAAGCCCAGCAAGAAAUGUCUUACCUGUUGCAUUCUGAUGGUUUAAGUGUUAGGAUAAUAACCAUUUUCCAGCAUCAUCCCUUGAUCUUUGAGCUUCUUGCGUGAAUUUAAUUAUUUCUGUAUCUUCUGUUAAAAUGGAGGAAUGGACUUCAACACAGAAAAUGAGCCAGGAACCCAAACUGAGGAUCCCAUCCUGCUUGUGUUAUUUUCUUCAUUUGAGUCAUUUUUGAGUUCCUAUUAUGACCACUACUGUGCCAUAUGAUAAACACAAAAGUUCAUCAGCUUCUAAACAUCUGCCUUGUUUUUAGCCCAUGUGUGUAUACCACUUCUUUUUGCUGAACAGAAAGCAGCUGUUCCCGUUUGAGAGUGACUGACCGAGGUAGCAAUUACUUCCAAGCCAGAAGAAAAUUCCAUAUUCUCAUUAUCUACCUACAGUACCACAGUCACCAGGGGAGCAGGAGAGGAAAUGGGUUCCCUGAGCCACUCCCUAAUUAUUUCUUUUGUUGAGGGGUUUCAUUAAUGAAGCUACCCAGAAAUGUCAUAGCCUUCACAAGUCCCUAGGGAGGCCUGAUAUUUAGUAGUGAUCUGUAAAUGAGGAUUAUAAUAGUUCUUGCCUCAUUAAUUUGGUCUGAGGUUUAAAUGUGCUAAUACUUAGAACAGUGCCUAACACAUAUUCAGCACUCAAUAAAAACUCUUAUUGUUAUUCCAGAAUGCAGGUGCCCUCACCACUGCAGUCAUGGAGUGCGGUCCUGCAGAGAGAAUGAAGCUACCAAAGAGAACACAGAUACAGGAUGCUCAAAUUAAACAAAACCACAGCAUCACAAAAUCUUUUUCAUUAGAAAGUUAAAGAGACAUCCAGAAAGCUGCAAAGCAAAUUGGAGAGAUGCCAAGAAUUCAGUAGAAAUCACUGAUAGAGAUUUCAUACUUAAUGACUUUUCUUUGAGCAAGUGCAAAAGCAAAAAGCAAAAGAACUGUGAUGAACACUGUGAGCCGUUAAGUAUAGUAGGACGUAUGGUAGGACUCAUAGCAGGACAAAAACAACAUAGGUCAUACAGAAGAGGGUCUGGAAAAAAUACAGAUUAUUCUCAGCCACACUGCAUAGGCUUAUCAUUAGAAGGAAGAACAAGAAAUCAAUAGCAGACCCACUCUAAAAUCUUAACUAUAAAGAUCUCAUUAUAGUAUGGAUUUAGUCAUUCAUUAAAAAAAAAAAUCUUUAUAAUGUCAUAACUGAACAAGGCGUGGUGCUAGACAUUGGAGACAUAUAGUUAACAAGACAAAUAUAGACCCUGCCCACAUGGAGUUUAUGAUCCAAUGGAAGAGUUGACAUUAAGUAAACACACAAAUGUCAUCUCAAUCUUUGAUAAGUGCUCCAAAGGAAUACAAAGUGGUCAGUGAAGAUAUUGAGGGCUUUUAGAUUUGAGGGUCAGACAGCUUUCUGAGAGAGCAACAGUAAUGACAUUCCUUAAAGGAUAAGGAGGCAUUACUGGGGAAAGAACAGCAGCUGAUGGUGCUGGGGAAUAGCACACUUGAAGGCUCUGGGGUGGAAAAUGAGGGGUGUGGUCCAAGAGCUGGGAUGUCUGUGCAAGGAGCAUCGUCAGUGGGAUGGAGAGUCUACAUGGGGCAAGGCCAGACCCCCAGACUGUGUGGGCCAUAUUAGCAUCUUGUUUUUUGCCCCCAAAUACAGGGCAAGUCACUGAAGGGCUUUAGGCACACACAAUUGACAUUGAUGUAUUUAUGUUUAUGUUUUAAUGGGUCAAUCCAGUUGCAUUGUGGAACACAAGUUUGGGGGACUUGAACGGAAAAGGGAAGUCCAUUUGGGAAGUGUUUGACCUGGUCAUUAGAGUAAAGGCUGUGGUGGGCACAACCAAAUAUAAAGAGUCCUGUGUCAGGCCCUAGAAGUCUCAUAUCUCUCUAGGUGCUCUGUAUGCUACAAAGUGGCCCCCAAAUCAUAGGAGUCCAUAUGAAGUAGAAAUCCUCAAGCAGUAAAACUUUUAUUUGGAUUAAAUUUAGCCAAAUGAAAAGAUGUCAAGAAUAACAGAAGUUUGUGAAAAGAAUGGGUUUGUGAAAAGAAUGGGUUUGACCCACUGAAAUAAGCAGCUGGGAAUGUGAGCUGUGAAAUGAUUGUGCUGAUGUGCUGGCAUUUGAAGAGUUUGCCUGGAUGCAAGACAAUUGAGCAAUAGAGGAGUUAGAUGAAGAUCAAAUUACUGUACAGAUUUUAUUAAAAGCAAAGUUGGAGAUUUGGCUUAGGUCUAUUGGCAAGCAGAGUUGCAAAUGUUUCAGCCCUGAAUUUAACCAUUCCCAAUAGAUUGUAGUAGGCUGUGUGAUCGCAGGAGGCAAUACAGGAUGGAGCCUGUUUUGAGGGUUUUUGUUUUUAUUGGUUCCUUCCUCUGUAAAUAUUGAAAAUUGUAUUUUACAAUGGUACUGGAACAAACAUACAACCCAGUCUCAUUUAUAUUCAUUUUUUUCUUCUGAUUUUAAAAGAAAAACAUUUUCAUGGACCCCUAAACUGGGAGGGAUAUGUCAGCAGCCCACCAGAGGUCAGAAUUCAGGAAUUGCAGGUAGAUGGGUCCUGAGAUAGAAGAGGGGGACUUAAGCUGGGAAGUGCCAAUAACAGAUAGUGUCACUCUCACAGGGUCCACCCAAUGGAACCUGUUUGUCCCUCCAACAAAGUAUACUAGGAUCCAAAUAAAUGUUCUGGUUCUGGGUGACUGGAUUUGCAUACUGACAGAUUUCCUGAUCCCAUGGAUCUGAGUACCAAGCAGCACUAAGAAAUGCAGUCUGGUAACCAAAAGUAAUGUUAAUAUGUCUCCCAAACUUUGUGUCUCUUGAAGAAUGUUAAUUGAAAUCUGUGACUUGGGGAGUGGCUUCUGG